GCGCUAUAGAAAGUUGCUCUAUAGUGAUUUCUGUGUCUAGUUCUCCAAGAAAGUAACUAGCGCAUAUACUAAAAUCGGAAUGAUACAGAGAAGAUUACCAUGGCCCCUGCGCAAGGAUGACAUGCAAAUUCAUGAAUCUAGGAAAGGAAGA
rnacentral:snRNA from 1 species